UGUGUGUGUGGUGGGGUUUGGAGUGUGUGUGUGUGUGUGGGGGGGUGGUAGGGUCUGGAGAGGGUCUGCCUGUGAAGGAGAAGACCUGGGCUGUGCCCAGAUUGCUAAUGGCUCCCUUCCUCCCCCAAAUCGUUGGAGCCUGGAGGUGCCUGUCCUGAUGCCAGGAUCUUUUCAUUGGUGCAGGAAGUCCAUUCAGCCCUGCAUUGCUUUUAAUGAGUUUUGCAAGCAAGUGGCCUCUUCCUGUGACUCAUUCUGCCUUUUGUGCACCGGAGAUUGUGGUUUUACGUUUCACUUUGGAAAGUAACCACCACUUCUGCUGCUUUCUCCCUGUUGGAAUCUGAACAAGUUACAUUCAUUUUGCAACAAAGAAAUGUAAAUGUAGGAGCCGCCAGUCAUAUUUCUGCUCUGAUUGUAAAAACAUCCUUUUCCGAGAUGGUUGACAGAGCCAAGCUAGGAAGAAAUGGUUUAUAUUUUCAAGUAACACAUUCAUCGGUGAACUCGGCAUUUCCCUGUCCCCCACCCACCAGUUUUGCUUUUGUUCUUUGUCUUCUUGAUUCAUAUUUCAGGGAGAUCCUAAAAAAAAUAAACAGUGCUUGUUGAUAAGUGAGGCGGUUAACCUCUAAUUUAUUGAAAGAAACUUCAUUCUGGACAAAACUCUGUGCUUUUGCUUUCAUGCAGCACACAGAGGAUGACCAUAGAGAUAAUUUCUUGUUCAGUAAAAUGUUUUUCCUCCCGACCUUCCACACAAAUCCGCUUAUGGUAUCUGAAUAGAUGAAUUUCUUAGGAUUAGCCAGUAUAUAUGUUAAGUGGACAAAUAGACAUAUUUUCCCUCAAAUUUAAUAAUGCAGGCAUCUUUAAAAUGUUAGUGUUGAACUAAAUUUUUUUAUAUAACUUUAUUUAAAUAUGUACAAACAUUAAACAGGAACUCUUGUACCAUUAUAAAACCAAAAUGCUUUUAAGUACAGACAAAACUAUAGUGCUAAUAGGUGGGGCGCAGGGACUCAUGCCUGCAAUCCCAGCACUUUGGGAGGCCGAGGUGGGUGGAUCACUUGAGAUAGGAGUUUGAGACAAGCCUGGCCAAUAUGGUGAAACCCUGUCUAUCAAAAAUACAAAAAUUAGCCGGGCAUGGUGGCACGCACCUGUAAUCCCAGCUACUUUGGAGGCUGAGGCAGGAGAAUCACUUAAACCCAGGAGGCGGAGGUUGCAGGGAGCCGAGAUUGCUCUACUGCACUCCAGCCUGGGCCACAGAGUGAGACUGCGUCUCAAAAACAAAAACCAAAACAAAACUAUAGCACUGAUAGAGUUCAAAUUGACAUGGGUGGAAAGUGCUGAGGUACUGAAGCUAGUGAAAUGAUGUUGGAUUUGGGUUUAUAAUCAAUAUAUCUGUGUUUUUUUGUCAUUUGUCAACUUGAUGCUUCUGACUUGAGCAUAAUGGACCACCAUUAAAAUCAUCAUCAUAACACUGACUUUUACAAAAUGAAGUGAUGAAAAAGUUCUUAUUCCAUAUUGUCAUCCACACUGACUGCCAAUGAACUGUUGCACAUUUUUACAGCAAAGAUGGGCUCUCCUUCAUCCAUUGUCUCACGGGACAAAUGCGGCACUGACUUGGAUUUGGGGACUUUUAAGUUCGGCCAGGGACUACACCACCCAGACUUCAUUGUCCUGAUUUUCUCUUUUUGAAGUGCCAUGAAGCCUUGGUUUGGAGGUUACACAAUCAUUUCGCUUACUCAAAUCCUCAGCACACUGAGGGAUGUACAUGGAGUGGUCCUGCUCUCCGAUCCAUCCUUAGGCAAAGGCUCAGUGGUCUCAUGGGGUAGAGAGCUGCUUCUUCCAUGGGGAGGAGAGAAAAGCGGCUGAGGAGACCAGCAGGAAGCCACUUCUAGACCUGCACAUGCUCUGCCGCCCUCUAAUAUCACAUGGAGGGGCUGAUGUCUCAAGGAAUGGGUGGGGAAUCCUGCUUUUAGAGAUUCAAAGCAAUUUUAUAACUUCUAAUAAUGGUUUUGCUUGCUUUGGGAGCAAGCUGGUAGAUGGGCAGGUGAUAACUUUUGCAUGCAUUUGGGGGGGCCUUGGGAUGGGAGGCAGCUUUCUUUGGGGAUCAGGGACACUGGUCUGGGUACCUCUCAUUUCCCACAGGCACCUUCAGUUGCAGGAAAGGGAUCAGAGUGUGAGGCAGCUAAGCAGUCUCAAAAGCCUAAGGUCUGACCUGAUUCAUGGAGUGCCCGGAGAAAAGAUGGGGGAAGGAUCUUAGCAUGACACCUCCAGUUGAGUGGGAUGGUGGGGGGUGGCCUUAUGCACACAUCCACUCACCUUAUGUAUCCACCUCUCUACCCUGAGACGCCAGGCUGAUCAGAAAGCACCACCCCCAGAGGAUUCUGGAGAUGCCCUUGACAUCCACGGGAGGAGGAAGACUUUGACCUUGCCUUGACUUUGGUUCAGAGGAGGUAUGGCUUAUUUUUCCCACAGCAGCAGCAGCAGCAGUACCUGGCGACCAGCAUCAUUUCACCACAGUGUGAAACCAUCGGGUGACGUAUAAAGGUGAAUUUUAGACCCAGGGGGUAGUCUAGGGUGUCCAUGCACAGUGCAUGAAAAUGUGAGCUCUAAAAAGGGCAAACAUCAAACUGAGGAAGUCCUGUGUGUGCCUGGUAGUAUCUCACUGUGUUUGUGGAGCACUCAUAGCUGGUUGAUGUGCUUGUUCUUAUGUUCAUUAAAACAAGUCCUCUAGGCACUUCUCUUAACUGGCACGCCAGUAGAUGGCCUUUAUAGUAAUGCACCUUCAAACAUCUUAUCUGGCUGACAGCUUGCACAUUCUCUUUUUUUUGGAGAUGGAGUCUCCCUCUGUCACCUAGGCUGGAGUGCAGUGGUGCGAUCUUGACUCAGUGCAACCUCUGCCUCCCAGGUUCAAGCAAUUCUCCCGUCUUGGCCUCUGGAGUAGUUGGGACUUCAGGUGCAGGCCACUGUGCCCAGCUAAUUUUUGUAUUUUUAGUAAAGAUGGGGUUUCACCAUAUUGGCCAGGCUGGUGUCGAACUCUUGACCUCGUGAUCCACCCGUCUCGUUCUCCCAAAGUGCUGGGAUUAUAGGUGUGAAGCACCUUGCCCAGCCCAGCUUGGACAUUCUUUAGCUCGUUGGUCACUCUCCUCUCCCCAAUGCAAGCCACGGGUACUUCUCAAGGCCCAGCUUCAGCCUCACCUUCCCUGUGGUCUCUUUCGAGCAGACCCACACAAAACUCUGUGCUUUGGAAACUGCCAGGUAAGACACAACUGGUUAGUUUUAUUAUCAUUGCUAUUUCCAUAUUACUGUUUACAAUCAGUAACUUCAUUUUAUUGAGGGAAAAACUGAAAUUCAGAGACUUUUGUCUAAGGUCCUCCAACUAGUACAAGGCAGAGCUAGGAUUCAGAUCUCCAAAUCCGGAAUGAUUGGAGGGUCAUCAGGCUCUGUCCCACUGUUUCCAGCAGUUGAGCCCUGCACCCACCAAGAGUGACGGUCCUAUGGGCAGUCACUGGACAAUGGAGGUGAAGUGGGGAGGCAUCAGAGUGACAGCCACAUUGUGUGCCAGCUGCACGAGCCAGACCGCAGGACAGUACUCAAAGAGAAGCACCAACAUCCAUCCUGGCUGAGCUGAUGACGGUAAGAGGUUACAAAGCUGUGAAAAUGACUUGGAGCAGUCUCCACAUAUUCCUCAGGGUUGAAUCAUUAUUGUGUGCACCACAGAGCAUUUGCUUUGUAAAAAAGCUAACAUUGUGAAAAAUGGGGUAGGUGCUUCCUGUUUUGACCAGGAACAAAUGCAAACCAGACCCUGCUCUUCUGACCAGGCAGAGCUUGCUCUUUCAAUUCAGAGAUAUCCGCAAAGACCCAAUUAUGCAGUGGUGUGGAAUGGCGCAUAUAUGUAACUGAGGUUCCUGUGAAAGGCACCGUUUCCUGGCUGAGUGGCAAGAUCGGCCAGGACACCAGGAAACUGAGCCUGAUUGGACACAUGAGAGUGUGAGCUGCUGAGACAGUGUUUAGGACAGGACUAAGUAAAUUAUGUUUCUCUUCUGCCUUCUGUUCUUUGUCACUAGUGUAAAUAUACAAAGGAGUGACAUGUUCAGUUGCCAAAUUCCUGAUAUAUUAUAUCCUGGUGGAAAUGUUUACUGGGGUGGGGCUCCCUGUGUAUGUUGGGGGCAGGGACAGGGAGUUUGGAGACUCUGAGCCAGGAGAUCUGGCAGAGAUGGCUGCUUGUCCUCUGAAGAGUUCUGCUUUCCUUCCAUAUGGUAGAGUAGUGGCUGAAAAGCAGCUGCCUAGCAGGGGUUAUAGUUUCCAGCCCCCACCCCCUUAUUAGGUAGGGCCAUGUCAUCCUGUCUUGGCAAUGGGAACAUGAGCAGUAGUGACCUUAAUUACUUCUGGGCCAAAGUAGUUAAAAAGCAGGUGUAGCUUUGUCAUAUUCUCUGCUCUGUCCAUCAACUGGAAGCAACGGUCUCUAAGAACCUGGGUCCCUGAGUCACUCUGUGGAAGGCAGCCUGCCAAGUACUAAAAUGUACUUCGUGUGAGUGAAAAGUAAACUUCCAGCAUGGUGAAUCCGAGAUUUGUGACAGCAGCUAGCGUUACCUAACUGAUACAGGGAGUGAGAAGACAGGUGAGGGAAGAGAUUUGGAUCAGAGAGGAGAGAGGCGGCCACCCAGGCCUUCAGUGAUGGCUGCAGCCAAUGAGCUUUAGAAGAGGUUGCGUUUCAUUAUGAGUUUUAUGUUUUCUUUUUCUAUUUGUGGUUUCUUUAUCAUACGCUCAAAUCUUAAGUAAAAUGUGUUGACAACCUCAUCCUACAUUCAGUCUGUGUUAGAGUUUUGUGGGCACAAAAGGAGAAGGUGUGCCCGUGGCUGGGGCGAAGGAGUAUGGCUAUGUGAAAAGAGGAUUGCAGGCUGGGCACAGUGGCUCACGCCUGUAAUCCCAGCACUUUGGGAGGCCGAGGCUGGUGGAUCACAAGGUCAAGAGAUCGAGACCAUCCUGGUCAACAUGGUGAAACCCCGUCUCUACUAAAAAUACAAAAAAUUAGCUGGGCAUGGUGGCGCGUGCCUGUAAUCCCAGCUACUCAGGAGGCUGAGGUGGGAGAAUUGCCUGAACCCAGGCAAUGGAGGUUGCAGUGAGCUGAGAUCACAGCAUUGCACUCCAGGCUGGGUAACAAGAGCAAAACUCUGUCUCAAAAAAAGAAAAGAAAAGAAAGAAAAGAAAAGAAAAGAAAGAAAAGAGAUUGCAGUCUUCUGGCACAGAGAUGUGGCUGCUCCAGAAGACUGCAAUCUUCUGGCCUCCUGUGUGCUGGGAGGCUUGAAGCUUUGGCCUCUCUGGGGUCCCCCACAGCACAGCAGUAAAUGCUCGUGUGUGCCCAUCAGGCUUCUGAUCUUUCCCCUUCCCAUGCCCAGCUGAGCAUGACCUGGCUGUCUUCACACCUUUAGUGAGGUAGGUGCAGUGCCUCAUUUGGCCUCCUGGUGGCCAGAGGUGGCCAUCAGAAUUAAUCCAGGUACAGCAGGUCAGAUCCAGAGGGCACACAUUCGCUGGGACAUGCCACCACCAUCUGAGAACACUAUGAAAAACAGAGAAGAAAUGGAAAUUCCUGACAUCAUGUGAGGGUGGUUUACAUACUGGUGUUUUGGAUUCAAGAGAAGGGCGUUCUCAGCAGGCUAGAGACAUGGCGAAACUCCGAGGAUGCAUGGAUUGCUACUUUCACGCGGUUGGGACAUCUACAAAAGUACACUAAAUUAGAGUUUACAUUUCCUUUGGUGCAAUCAUACAUAUUUUUGACUUACUCGAUGGGGCUUUAGAAAUCAUUGCUUAAUUGGGUUUGUUAAUUGUUUGGGUUCUCAAUAAUUUUUAGAUUGCUUACCUCAAAUCUGCCAUUUCCAGGUGCCCUGGGGAGAGACUGACUGACACAUGGUGUAAACAGGGAGCCAAGCAGGUCCCAGGCCUCUUCCUCUCCCACCCCCUCAUUCUUUCACUCUUAAGCCAAAAGCUUUGUUUUCAGUCUGAGACACCUGUCUCGUCAUGGCAUUCAGGACAAGUCUGUGUUUCUCGGCUAUUUGGAUGGGUAGGUUUUCAUCUGACAAUACUUGUCCUCAGUAGCUUGAGGCAAAGCACUGUUGAGGCAACAGAAGACAUCAGAGUGCCUCUGUUCCCUGGGAGCUCACAGCUCCGUGCUAGGAUGAGGCCAGGCAAGCGCAACUGUAAUCUGAGGUGCACAGAUGUAGGUGCCUUAAGAGAGACACAGCCAUGAGCUACUGGAGAUGGGGACUUACAUCUUCCCUGUGAAUGUCCUUAAUCAUCUGAAAUCACUCUUCCCUCUGCCAUGGACAGACACUGACUAGCUGGCUGUGCAUACAUGUGCAUGAGCAUGUAUGGGUGCUAGGACCUGAGGGUAUAAAAAAGCAUGGGACAUGAUUCCUGUCAUCAAGACCCUUACAUUUUACUCAGCAAGUCUAAUUUUAGAUGUAAAAAGCCAUGGGUCCAACAAACCUAUUAUGUAACUUUUUUUUUUUCAUGUAUUCAAGUGGGAUAAUUCAGGAAAUGAAAGAAAAUUUCAGACACUAUAAUGUCUUCAGAAGGGUAGACUAUUGCACUCAAAAAAUGAGAAAUGGAUAUCACACACACACAAAAAAACAACAAGAAUGAUCCGUUUGGGGUCUGGGAGACAGGGCCUCCAAUUAAAGAGAAAGGUAGAGAAAACUCCGGAAUGUCAGCUUCUCAGAUACUUUUUGCAUGCUAAGACAGUUUGGGGACUUAAGAUUAGUGACUAAAGCAGUGAACGAAACAAAUGAAAUCCCUGUCCUCAAGGUGCUUGUAUUCUACAUGAGGGACAUAGAAACCAAUAACAUGUCAAGUAUUAAUAAGGUCUGCAAAUAAAAAAGGAGCAGGGGGGAGAGGAAAGUGGAGUGAUGGAAAGGCACCAUUUUCCAGAGAACGAAGCCAGGUGUCCACCCCUCUACUGCAGUGACAUGCCCCUCCUGAUUCUCAUUUUCAACCCUUUCCCUGCUUAUUCUGGAAUUUACUUUUAUAUUUCUAAGUAAAAUGAACAUACUACAAUAUUUCGAUUAAUGAAAUCAGGCAUUCCUUAUUGACUUAUGAUGCCAGAUGAAGUUUUUGUUUUUCAUAUACACUUUUUACCAUCCCCAAGCCUUGUAGUAUAAAAAUACCAUGUUUUUUAUUUCUGUAACUUUUGGCUUUUCCUGGAGUUAAAAUGCUCCAUUUUUAGUGGCUUAUUAUUUUUUUCAAAUUAUUACUACUGCCCCUCCCCCAAAAAUGUUAUGGGAAAAGAAUCUCUGUAAUAUUUUCCACACUGUUAAAUAUAUUUCUCCUUUUUUCCUCUUGGAACUCCUCCCACUGAAGUGCUCUCUCCUAGAACGUUCCGGUCUAAUGGGGCUGCUCUGGCCCCCGACAGGCUGUCAUUCUGGAGUCUUCUCUGCCUUUCUCCUUAUUUGGAGGCCGUCUCCCAGAUGCCAGAUGGAUUGUUCUUAAUCCUUUUUUUUUGUGGUAUCCAUCUCUCAUUUUAUGAGUGCAACAGUCUACCCUGCUGAAGACAUUAGUUAUAGUGUCUGUGAAAUUUUCUUCUGUUUCCUGAAUUAUCUCAAUAAUAAUAGUGACUCCCCAAAUUUUGCUUGUUUGCUUUGGUUUCUAUUGGCGACUUCCCUCAACUGGUAAUACUUGAUAUCUGUUUAUGUGUAAGAGAGGUGCCCUAAAAAGUUGUGGGGUGGGGAGGUGGCUGUGCAGGGUAGCAGGUAUCUAUGUCUAUCUGUGGACUGGUGUGGGUAUAUGAGUGUGGGUCUGUGUCUAUGGGGUGUGUAUGUGGGGGUGUCUUUUCUGUGUACAUGGGGGGGUAUGUGGGUAUGUCUUUGAGGGAUGUGCAGGUCUUGUCAGCCAUGGGCUUUGCUGCCAGUAAUCUGCAUGUUCCCCCAACAUCAGCACCUUCAGCUCUCCUCACUGGAUGGUCUGGUCUCUGCAGAGAGGCUGCCUGGCCUCAUGGUGGGAGGUGGAGCUUGUGGUGAACUGCCUGCCACAUGCCAUAGUUGGACCAAGGAAGCAGCCGAGGAGCCCCACCGCUCGCUGUGUAAGUGCCUCAAAUGCCUAGUUUCAGUCUAACACCUCACCCUGCAUCUUCUCCCCAACUCCAGGACAAUGCACCUGCCAUUAGCCACUCCAGUGUCACCAUGGCAUUAGCCAUAUCUCAGUUUCCCACUCUCUACAGAAUCAUUCCCAUCAUCAUACAAAUCUGCUGUGAUGUGUCCCAUCAGCAUAAAACCAGCCUCAGCCCAUAUUCCUCUCCAUGACCACCCAUUUCUCUCCACUUCCCUUUAUGGCCAAAUCCUUGGAAGAGAUGACUAUAUAGUCUGUCCUUCCAAUCCAUGGGUUUCAUAUCUGUGGAUUCAAUGAAGCAUGGGUCAAAAAUAUUUGGGAAAAAAACUGUGUCUGUAUGGAAGACAUGCAGCUGUUUACUAUUAUUUCCUAAUCCAUAUAGUAUAGCAACUAUUAAUGUGGCAUUGACAUUCUAUUAGGCAUUAUAAGCAAUCUAGAGAUUAUUUAAAGUACACAGAAGAUGUGUAUAGGUUGCAUAAAAACACUACAUCAUUUUAUAUCAGGGGCGUGUCAUCCACGAAUUUUGAGAUCCACAGGGGUCCCGAAACCAAUCCCCCAAGGACACCAGAAGCUGUCCUUGCUUUUUCCCCUUCCUCCUUUUCCUUCUCUCUUGCACCCACUCCAAGUCGACCUUUGCCCCCCACUCCAAUGUACCCACUCACCAUCUUCAGUGAACUCCAAGUGACAGAGCCGAGCAGUUUAGUCUCCAUCUUACUUGGCCCAGCAGUCAGGGAGGACUUUGGUCAUGAUUUGUCUCUUGCUCUUUCCUCAAAGUCUCAAAUGCAGCCCAGAUGUUUCCAUGCAGGGAGCAGGGAGAACGGGGCAAUGGAGGAGCAGCAGUGCACCUGGAGGACUGACUCUGAAGGGCAGUAGUGACGCUGUGCAGGGCAGAGAUGGAGUUUCACUAUGUUGGCCAGGCUGGUCUUGAACUCCUGACCCCAGAUGAUCCACCCGCCUUGGCCUCCCAGAGUGCUGGGAUUAUAGGUGUGAGCCACCAUGCCCAGCCGAGAGUAGAUUUUAAAUGUUCUCAUCACAAAAAGGUUACCUCGGCACAGACGCAGCUCUGAGACGUCUCUUCUACAGCCUAGCCCUCCCGGAGUUGUUUGAGGAGCCAACUGUUCACCUGUCUUGUCUGCCAAGCUCAAUGUUCCUUGUUUUACCUGUUCACUGACUUCUUACAGUCAGAAAACCUCCCUCAAAACCAAGGCUGCCUCCUGUUGAGUAACUCCUGUGUUCUCAGAGAGACGGAUGCUUUGGUCUCAUUUUAGAUACUUUCAGCCCUUCUACAUACAAUGGGGUCCCCAACAAAUACAGUUACUUUCAUCCUGACCACGGCCAUGAGGGCAGCUGGGCCUUGGUGGCUCAGUGGUGGCCAAUUCUGAACGCAGUGGACAUUUAACUGCCUGGGUUUAAAACUGACUUCACUGACAAGGCUCCAACAAGCAAUCAAGUACCCAGAGGAAGAGUGAAAGCACUAACUCUAACCUGUUGUCUACCUAAAUGAGUCUGCUCCUGUCAGAUCUGUAGACCUCAGAGGCAUUUUCAGGCGUCUGCUAUUAUUCCUGGUGAUGGAGUGCAGAGACACCUGCAUCAUCCCAUAGAGUCACAGCAGAAACAAGCUGGAAGGUCUUGGAUUGAUGGGCUGAGACCUGCCCUGAGUGUCAGGAGAUUAGUUCUCAUGCCGGGUGUCACCUCGGGAAGUCCCUUCCCACUCCGGACUUCUGUUUCUCACCAUUACACUGAAAGAUUGGCCCAGUUGGUGGCUUUCCCAGGUGGUCUCUGUGCUAUCACCUCAGAAUUCCUUAGAAAUGCAAAUUCUCAGGGGCCGCUACAGACCCAUCAGCUCAGAAAUGCAGGGCACAGAGCAUAGAGAUCUGUGUUUUACUAAACGGGAUGGGGAUGGGUGUCGGGAGGGACAGGGUGUUCUGGUCCCACCUAAAGUUUGAGAACCACUAGUUGGGUAAAUUUUCAGUCCCCUUCUGACUCUAAUAGUCUGAUCCUCGGCUGUGAUCUGUGAAGAGAACAAACUGUGCCUAUUCCUGAUGACAUCUGGGAUGACAAUGGGUGAGAGAGGGGGUUCCCACCAGAAAGUGAAACUCAGAUAGGUGGCCAUAGAAGUUCCUUUCAAGCAUCACCUGUUAUCAUGUUACUGGGAUUCCAUUUGCUAAUUAAUUUCAGGGAGAGCUGAAAGGAGCCCCGUGGGAAGGUCUUGAUGGCCCUGCAGUGGCUGCAUUAGGAACAAUUCCUGGCUGUCCCUGAAAGGCCCCUGGAAGGCUCCCUUCGGCAGCACCUGGAGAGGGAGGCUGACAGCAGCUUUGUGCAUCUCAGAGUGGAUAUUGUUUCUCCCAUUGGUGCUUCACACAAUCGGGCGAGUGUCCGAGGUCCGGCUGGCCUCCAGCUGUGGCUGUGUGCCCAGCUCCCCUGGAAGGGUGCCUGCAGCCCGAGAAGGGGCGCUCUGUUUCCGUGGGAGGCAUGGCCAGCUCCUGUUGACAGGUUUGUGACUUGCUCACGGAAAGGCCUGCUUUCCGGAGCUGGCCUCGGACUGAGCCAGGAAACAGUUAUCUCAGGGCCCAGCACGUGGCUGGGGGGCUGGCGCAUAGUAGGUGUGCUGAACAACAGCUGAUGCCAACUUGAGGUCUGUUGGGUCCUUUUGUAAAAUUGCUUUGGGUGUUCAGAGGAGUCCCAGAAUCAAUUUUGGAUAGCUCCUCAGCUCCUAGGUGCUUUCGGGAGGGGCAUAUUAUGUGAGACUCCAGUCUGGUGCCAUGGCUCAUGUCUGUAAUCCCAGCAUUUUGGGAGGCUGAGGCAGGUGGAUCACCUGAGGUCAGGAGUUUGAAACCAGCUUGGCCAACAUGAUGAAACCCCGUCUCUACUAAAAAUUCAAAAAUUAGCUGGGUGUGGUGGUGUGCUCCUGUAAUCCCAGCUUCUCAGGAAGCUGAGGCAGAAAUAUCGCUUGAACCUGAGAGGUGGAGGCUGCAGCGACUGGAGAUCAGGCCACUUCACUCCAGCCUGGGCAACAAAGUGAGACUCCAUCUCAAAAAAAAAAAAAAAAGGUUACUGGACUUCGGCUCUCCAAGCUCCUGACUAAUGCGAGUAGGGUAAGGGACGUGACAUUGGGCCAGGAGAGCACCAGGGGGCAUCCUAGGUGACAUCGCAUUAUGAUAGUGCAUCACAUGCAUGACGGGAUUGCUAGGGGAAGCAGUCUCUGAUUUCCAGAUGAAAAAUUUAGGGCGCCCCAAAUAGGUAUCCUGACCAAAGUCACACAAGGAGGAAGUGAUAGAGUCAAAACACUAAAUUUAGUUUCAUUUACUGAAUAUGUGGCUAAAUAAUGUAGUCAUUGUACGAAUGGAAAAGGUUUCCAUUUAUAACUAUUCUAUUUGCCUAGUUAUUCUAAUUAAUGAUUCUAUCUAACACAUCUGUCUAAUCGAAUCCUCACACUAAUGCCUUGAAAUGGGUAUUUAUAUCACCUUUUUACAGAUGAGGAAACUGAGGCUUAACUUACCUGCUGUCACCCAUGGCUAAUAAAUGGCUAGUCUUGAAUCGUACCCCAAUAGAUGUUGGAUGAAUGGAUGACAUCAAAGCCUGUUCUCCACCACAUUCAUCCAGACGAAAGAUUUCAGGGUGGCCUGGAAGAACCCUGCACCUUGUCAGGGAUUGCAGUGUCUGAAUUUUCACCAUCCCCAAUCUUUAGGGUUUAAUUGCCAUCAGCCCCCAAUUCCAAGUGAUGAAUUUACUCCGAGCAGGGCUCUUCCUGGACAGGUGAGCACCUGGGUAAAUCACAUGACAUUUACAUGAGAUGCUUAGUGAGGCUUUGACAUGAUUACAAGUCCACACUGUGAGACUGCAGUUCCAUACAGACUCUACCUGAGAGAGAGGAGCCUUAAGGAGUACGAAAACCACUGUGACCUGGGCAAGAGCUGGGGCAUCUAACCGCGUGGUGGGAGGAUUCCAGAAAGAGUGAUAGAGGUGGGCAAAAAGAACCUUCACUCCAGUGGCCCAUGAGGGAAUAUGGUUGCCAUGUGGCAGAUGGAGAGAUGGGUCCAGAGAUCAUGGGUAAGUGGUUUAGUUAUGUUGAAGUCAUUUUUUUCAGUCAGUCACUGACUCCAGCCUCUCUGUGCUAGACUUACACGCUCGUACAGGGGAAAUCGGAGAUGAAAUUCCAUCUCUACCCCCAAGAAACCCAUCGUCUAGUGGCAGAGAGAUACAUCAUAAUAAGGCCUGAUACAACAGGUCAGGAACUGUAUUUUUGGCCAAGUACCCUAAUGUUCACAGAUAGGAGAAGAAUGGUGGAGAAAACACUCUUCCUGUUUCCAGAAUAACGGCAAUGACUUGGCAGUCUGUAGAUUUUAAGGAACAUUCACGUCAGCCAUAUGCACUGAAUUCAAGCUUAGUGGGCUGGGUGCAGUGGCUCACACCUGUAAUCCUAGCACUUUGGGAGGCUGAGGUGGGUGGAUACUUGAGGUCAGGAGUUUGAAACUAGCCUGACCAACAUGGUGAAACCCUGUCUUUACUAAAAAUACAAAAAAAUUAGCUGGGCGUGGUGGCAGGUGCCUAUAAUCCCAGCUAUUUGGGAGGCUGAGGCAGGAGAAUUGCUUGAACCUGGGAGGCAGAGGUUGCAGUGAGCUAAGAUCAUGCCACUGCACUCCAGCCUGGGCAACAGAGUGAGACUCUGUCUCAAAAAAGAAAAGAAGAAAAGAAAGGAAAAUGAAUUCAAGCUUAAUGGAUGGAUGAAUACUGCCCUGUGAAGGUGCAUUUUGUAGAUGUGUUCGAGAUUGCACAGCUGUUGAGUGGCAGAACUGGACUCGAACCUAGAUAUCUCACCUGAUUUCCAGCAUCAGUGUAGGAGAGCAGGGGCAGGGUUGGAACAGUGGACGUCCUUAUUUCCUCAGAACAACAGAGGAUAGAUGGACGGAUAUAACCUAGGAAGGCUGGGGUGAUAGUAUCUCAAAAUGAAUCUCCUGAGAGGUUUGGGAGCGGCAGAUCAGAACUGAAAGCAGCAGAGUGGCUGAAAAAGGUCUUCUCAAUUGGAACACAUGUGUGGCUUUUCAAGUUGUAUUUAGAGGGAGGGGUAAGAGAACAGCUAUUUCAGCGAAGGGACCUGCAGAGACCCAGGCAGGGCCAACUCAUGGCAGGGUCUUAGGCUGG